rnacentral:rRNA from 1 species
CUUCCGCCGGCGACCGGCGCACGGGUGAGUAACACGUAUGCAACCUGCCCCUGUCAGGGGGACAACCCGCCGAAAGGCGGGCUAAACCCGCGUACAUGCCACCGGGGCAUCCCGGAGGCAGGAAAGGCUUCGGCCGGACAGGGAUGGGCAUGCGGCGCAUUAGGCAGUAGGCGGGGUAACGGCCCACCUAACCGACGAUGCGUAGGGGUUCUGAGAGGAAGGUCCCCCACACUGGUACUGAGACAUGGACCAGACUCCUACGGGAGGCAGCAG